rnacentral:rRNA from 1 species
GACGAACCGUGCAACGUUGUUCGGAAUCACUGGGCUUAAAGGGCGCGUAGGCGGGUUCCCAAGUCGGUGGUGAAAUCUUUCAGCUCAACUGGAAAGUCGCCGCCGAUACUGGGAGUCUUGAGGGAGGUGAGGGGUCGAGGGAACUGGUGGGUGGAGCGGUGAAAUGACGUAGAUAUCACUAGGAACGCCGGUGGCGAAAGCGCUCGACGUGGACCUCUUCUGACGCUGAGGCGCGAAAGC